UACGUAGGGUGCGAGCGUUACUCGGAAUUACUGGGCGUAAAGCGUGCGCAGGCGGUGAUGUAAGACAGGCGUGAAAUCCCCGGGCUUAACCUGGGAACUGCAUUUGUGACUGCAUCGCUGGAGUGCGGCAGAGGGGGAUGGAAUUCCGCGUGUAGCAGUGAAAUGCGUAGAUAUGCGGAGGAACACCGAUGGCGAAGGCAAUCCCCUGGGCCUGCACUGACGCUCAUGCACGAAAGCGUGGGGAGCAAACAGG
rnacentral:rRNA from 1 species